UACGGGGGUGGCGAGCGUUACUCGGAUUUAUUGGGUGUAAAGGGCAGGUAGGUGUUCCGCCAAGUUGGAAGUGAAAUCCUAAGGCUCAACCUUAGAACUGCUUCCAAAACUGGCGGGAUUGAGGCUGGAAGAGGAGAGCGGAAUUCCCGGUGUAAGGGUGAAAUCUGUAGAUAUCGGGAGGAACACCAGUGGCGAAAGCGGCUCUCUAGUCUAGCCCUGACGCUAAUCUGCGAAAGCUAGGGGAGCAAAC
rnacentral:rRNA from 1 species